AAGCUGCUCCUGUCAGCCAGCAAAGACUGCUCAGGCUGAAGUCUGGAAAGGUCCUGGAGACAGAUAUGACUGCCUUGAUUUGGGGUAUCUUCCAUAUUUGUUACCAUGGAAGUGUGGUAUCCUGUGGCAAAAGAACAAUUCUCAUGGAAGCCCCGCCCCGUUCUAGUUGUUGGGAGAAGGUCAGCUUGUUUCUCCAGGCCUCCUUGGGACAGGUCCAGCUCCCACUUCAGUCCUACCUUUAACACUGAAAUGACUUUGGAAGAACAUGGAGAAGGCAAAAGCUUCAGUGGAGACUCACUGGUGGCUCGGCAAGCACCAAUUCCAGCCAGCAUGGACCUGCCCUGGGAGAGAGCAGCCCAGAUAACAGUACUACAGUGCAGAGAAUCCUGGAUUCUCAUUCUAGUGUAAGGAGCCUGAGUCUUGGCGAGCUCACUUUGCUCAUUUCUGCUCACAUAGUUAAUACUGCUCAUGGUAGCAAAUCAGGACUCUCAC
rnacentral:lncRNA from 1 species